AUGAAAUUGAGGAAUGAAGUCAUUAAGCUUCUAGAUAAUAAAAUCAUUUAUCCUAUUUCUGACAGCAAAUGAGUAAGUCCUACCCAAUUUGUACCUAAAAAGUCUGGAGUCACUGUGAUAACAAAUGAGAAAAAUGAGUUAAUUCCAUCUAGGACUAUUACUGGUAGGCGCAUGUGCAUUGAUUAUAGGAAACUUAAUUCAAUGACUAGAAAAGAUCAUUUUCUUUUACCUUUCAUGGAUCAAAUCCUAGAAAGAGUCGCAAGUUAUAAAUUUUAUUAUUUCCUUGAUGGUUAUUCAGGUUACAACCAAAUUGAAAUUGCAUUUGAAGAUCAAGAGAAAACUACUUUCACAUGUUCAUUUGGUACUUUUGCAUAUUGAAGGAUGUCUUUUGGAUUAUGUAAUGCACCAGCUAUAUUUCAAAGAUGCAUGCUUGGUAUAUUCAAUGAUAUGGUUGAACAUUUUUUGGAGAUUUUUAUGGAUGAUUUUUUCUGUUUUUGGUGAUUCAUUUGAUGAUUGUUUAACAGGAAAAAGUUUUGAACAGGUGUGAAGAGAAGAAUCUUGUGCUGAAUUGGAAAAAAUGUCAUUUUAUGGAGAUUUGCUAGUUCAUUGGAGUACUCAAGACAGAAGAAAGUUUUUGAGCGAAGUGAAGAACUUUUAUUGGGAUGACCCUUACAUAUUCAAAUAUUGUCCUGAUCAAAUAUUUCGAAGAUGCAUUCCCGACAAUGAGGUAAGUAGUGUCAUUAAAUGUUGUCAUUCUGAGGCAUGUGGAGGUUAUUUCUCAUCAAAGAAGACGACUGUAAAAAUCUUACAAUGUGAAUUUUAUUGGCCCACCAUGUUCAAGGACAGACAUGCAUUCUGCAAAACUUGUGAAAAUUGUCAAAAGUUAGGGUCUAUUUAAAAACGUCAUAUGAUGCCUUUAAAUCCUAUUCUUGUCAUCAAA